UUUUUUUUUUUUUUUUUUUUUGAGAGUUUUGCUCUGUCGCCCAUGCUGGAGUGCAGUGGCACAAUCUCGGCUCACUGCAACCUCUGCCUCUGGGUUCAAGCAAUUCUUGUGCAUCAGCCUCCUGAGUAGCUGGGAUUACAGGCACCCACCACCAUGCUGGGCUAAUUUUUUUUUUUUUUUGGUAGAGAUGGGGUUUCACCAUGUUGGCCAGGCUGGUCUCAAACUCCUGACCUCCAGUGAUCUGCCCACCUUGGUGUCUGUGCUGGGAUCCUUUUCUGUUAACUUGCUUAUAAAAAUGUCACACUCUGUAUUAAGACAUAAGGAGUUAGAAAAUCACUGUAAAAAUAAAGUUGCUUGUUGUACAGGUACUAACAAGCAUUUUCUGAAAUGGAAAUUUGUUUUUUUAUUAACCUAAUACAAAUAAGGUUCAAGCACUGUAUUUAAAUAUUUAAAAGAUAGGAGUUUCUUAAAAUACCACAUAUGGUGCUCUUGUGAGCUUGCUUUUCUCCACAAUUUGGCAAUUUGCUUCACUCUAGUAGUCCAAUCUGCAACAAAAGAACAGAAUAUAACACUUUCUCAGAGCCAUGCUAAUGAUGUGUUGUAUUAAAGAAUGUUGAUGAACUGCUGACAGUUAAUCUUAUUCAGGCCGUAUUCUCAUGAGGUCAUAGAUCUAUAUUAAGUUUUUUUACAAAGAACAAAGAUCCUGGCACACUGUAGGCCAAACAAACGUUUUCUAAAUGAAGUGUUGCCUUAUUAACAACCUAGCUUGUAGGUUGGGAAGUUUUUAGAUUCAAGGGACAAAGUAGCAAAAAUGUGCCCUCUCCCUCACCCUCACCUUCUCCCUCUCCCUCUCUCUCUCCCGUCUCCGUCGUCUCUGUCUCCUGCUUUCCACGGUCUCCCCCUCUCCCUCGUCUCCGUCUCCCGCUUUCCACGGUCUCCCUCUGUUGCCGAGGCUGGACUGUACUGCUGCGAUCUCGGCUCACUGCAACCUCCCUGCCUGAUUCUCCUGCCUCAGCCUGCUGAGUGCCUGGGAUUGCAGGCGCGCGCCACCACGCCUGACUGGUUUUUGUAUUUUUUGGUGGAGACGGGGUUUCGCCGUGUUGGCCGGGCUGGUCUCCAGCUCCUGACCACGAGUGAUCUGCCCGCCCUGGCCUCCCGAGGUGCCGGGAUUGCAGAGGGAGUCUUGCUCACUCAGUGCUCAAUGUUGCCCAGGCUGGAGUGCAGUGGCGUGAUCUCUGCUCGCUACAAUCUCCACCUCCCAGCCACCUGCCUUGGCCUCCCAAAGUGCUGAGAUUGCAGCCUCUGCCCGGCCGCCACCCCGUCUAGGAAGUGAGGAGCGUCUCUGCCUGGCCGCCCAUCGUCUGGGAUGUGAGGAGCCCCUCUGCCUGGCCGCCCAGUCUGGGAAGUGAGGAGCGCCUCUUCCCGGCUGCCAUCCUGUCUAGGAAGUGAGGAGCGUCUCUGCCUGGCCGCCCAUCGUCUGGGAUGUGGGGAGCGCCUCUGCCCGGCCGCCCUGUCUAGGAGGCAGCAAAUAUGAAGUCUAUGGACCCUGCCUCAGGUUAUUCAAAUAACAUCCUCACCAUUGAUCAAAUGCUCAAGAAAAAGCAGACUUGUAUAGUGGCCGAUGCAACUACUAUUAAACAACAUGUGAGUA
rnacentral:lncRNA from 1 species